rnacentral:lncRNA from 10 species
CCGAGCGCCCGCCGGGGAGAGAAGCGGCGGCGGCGGCAGCGCUGCGGGCGCGCCAGCUGGGGCGGGAGGAGGGGAGACCCGGCACCCACCGGCCCGGAGCUGCCCGACGCGGCUUGGGCGGACCCUGCCGCCCGGGUGCCUUGGCACCAUUCCAUGGCUCCGGGGUAAAGCAGUUCGCGAGGGGACAGGAGGACAUGUCAGGCACAGGUUAUUCCCCAUCACUAAAGCCACAGAGGACUGGUCCAGAUGCGGAUCCCGAUCUGUGCUUCUUCAGGAACAUAUGUUCAUUGUGCAUACUUCAGUAAUUACAGAAAAGGCAGACACUGUAAGAGUCAAGGAUCUGUACCAUCUGGGCCAGAUGAAAGGAGACCCAGUGCUGGGUGCCAACAGCAUACUGAUUACACUACGUUAUGAAACAUCUCACUCUUUCCCUGUGAGGCUUCACUGAAAAGACUUCACAGACAGUACCAUAUGUUAGUGAGAGCUGCAGUAUCUAGUCAAGAGUUGGGAGAAGCAAGUGUUAAAGCUACUAAUUCCUCGUGUUUUAGUUUCAAAUCUGUACUCUACAAGUAAUAGGGAGAGUUGAAAUAAAAAUGCUUUUAUCUGUCACUUUUCGUAUCAUUUAAAAUUUUGACCAGCAGUCGAUAGUAAUGGAAUCAAGAUAUUCAAAGCAAUUUUAUGCUUCCUUCUGUCAUAAAUUAAAAUGUUUCAUUAACUAAACAAAUUCUCAAUGGCAUAAAUCAACCCACACUAAGUAAAUCAUAGUGAGAACCAAAGUGUAAUUCCAUAAAAGUGAUUAAGUGCUGGCAAGAUACAGUGAUAUAUAUCAUCUGCAGUAGGGAGACUGAUUAUUCAGUAUCUGUAUGUUGUAUUUUAGACUGGCUAAUUUC